GUGUAUAUUCGGCAAAACACUCUAAAGAGUGUGACGCAAAGCUAUAGGGCCUGUAAAAUGGUAGCCAGUUGUACUU
rfam:Coprococcus sp. CAG:782 genomic scaffold, scf117